rnacentral:rRNA from 1 species
GUUAGUGGCGGACGGGUGAGUAACGCGUGAGAAUCUGCCCUCAGGAGGGGGAUAACGGCUGGAAACGGCCGCUAAUACCCCAUAUGCCGAGAGGUGAAAUGAAAUUCGCCUGAGGAUGAGCUCGCGUCUGAUUAGCUAGUUGGUAGGGUAAAGGCCUACCAAGGCGACGAUCAGUAGCUGGUCUGAGAGGAUGAUCAGCCACACUGGGACUGAGACACGGCCCAGACUCCUACGGGAGGCAGCAGUGGGGAAUUUUCCGCAAUGGGCGAAAGCCUGACGGAGCAACGCCGCGUGAGGGAUGAAGGCCUCUGGGCUGUAAACCUCUUUUAUCAAGGAAGAAGAUCUGACGGUACUUGAUGAAUAAGCCACGGCUAAUUCCGUGCCAGCAGCCGCGGUAAUACGGGAGUGGCAAGCGUUAUCCGGAAUUAUUGGGCGUAAAGCGUCCGCAGGCGGUCUUACAAGUCUGUCGUUAAAGCGUGGAGCUUAACUCCAUUUCAGCGAUGGAAACUGUAAGACUAGAGUGUGGUAGGGGCAGAGGGAAUUCCCGGUGUAGCGGUGAAAUGCGUAGAUAUCGGGAAGAACACCAGUGGCGAAGGCGCUCUGCUGGGCCAUAACUGACGCUCAUGGACGAAAGCCAGGGGAGCGAAAGGGAUUAGAUACCCCUGUAGUCCUGGCCGUAAACGAUGAACACUAGGUGUCGGGGGAAUCGACCCCCUCGGUGUCGUAGCCAACGCGUUAAGUGUUCCGCCUGGGGAGUACGCACGCAAGUGUGAAACUCAAAGGAAUUGACGGGGGCCCGCACAAGCGGUGGAGUAUGUGGUUUAAUUCGAUGCAACGCGAAGAACCUUACCAGGGUUUGACAUCCUGCGAAUCCCUUGGAAACGAGGGAGUGCCUUCGGGAACGCAGUGACAGGUGGUGCAUGGCUGUCGUCAGCUCGUGUCGUGAGAUGUUGGGUUAAGUCCCGCAACGAGCGCAACCCACGUCUUUAGUUGCCAGCAUUUAGUUGGGCACUCUAGAGAGACUGCCGGUGAUAAACCGGAGGAAGGUGUGGAUGACGUCAAGUCAUCAUGCCCCUUACAUCCUGGGCUACACACGUACUACAAUGCUACGGACAAAGGGCAGCAAACUCGCGAGAGCUAGCCAAUCCCAUAAACCGUGGCUCAGUUCAGAUCGUAGGCUGCAACUCGCCUACGUGAAGGAGGAAUCGCUAGUAAUCGCAGGUCAGCAUACUGCGGUGAAUACGUUCCCGGGCCUUGUACACACCGCCCGUCACACCAUGGAAGUUGGCCACGCCCGAAGUCGUUACUCCAACCCUUGUGGAGGAGGAUGCCGAAGGUGGGGCUGAUGACUGGGGUGAAGUCGUAACAAGGUAGCCGUACCGGAAGGUGC